GUUUUUGUAUGCAUUUAUUAAAAUAAUUAGCAGAAUAUCAUCAAGCUAAAAAGAGUUGUAACAUGGAAACACAGACAACUUUGCCAUUUAUCAGAGAUUCUCUAGCUGGGAAGUUUCAGCUUAUUGAUGAUCAGUUUGCAGAUGCUUACUCUCAGCAUAUCAAGGGUGAGUCUUUAGAAAUAAAGCUAAAUGAAUAUGAGAGAGAAAUAAAAGAGCAAGUUCAGGCAGAAAUGUGUCAAAAUAUAAACUUCUGUUAAGCUGCUGAGAUAGCAAAAAUUAAAAUAAAGCAAAAGGAAAGUAUGGGAAAAAUUAACUGUGUUCAGGAAAGAUUUUGAGAAGGCUUGUCAGUCGGAGCCUGAAGCCAUCAUUUUUUGGGAAAAGAGUAUCCUUGAGAGAAUUCAAAAGCAUCAAGAAAUUGAAAUAAAGAGAAUUUAUGGCCACAGGCAAAUUUAAGUAAAAGCCAUGGAUUUACUAAGAGGAAGAGAAGCAGUGAUGAAGCAGAGGGUUGAAGCUUUUGAAUUGAACCCAGAAGCCCCAGGAAGAAAAACAUAACACCAUGACUGAGGCACUUAGAAGGCAGGAGCGAAUAUAAGGAGUCUUGAGGAGACCUAUGACCAAACUGCUGAAGUACAUGUUUGACUGUUUUGAAGUGACAACUUGAGCUAAAGGAUGACUAUAUCAUUAGUACUAAUCGACUAAUUGAAGGUGAAAGGAAGAAAUAAUGUUGAGUUAGAGUGUGUCAAAACCCAGUCUUGCCAAUAACAAAACAAAACCUUAUGCUGAAUGAAAAGGCUAAAAGGAUGAGUAAUUAUUCACUACUUAAAAGAGAGUAGAAAUGAAAACUUGCAUGUCCUAAACCGUCUAGAUCAGCUGGCUCAUGAAAUUGUGGUAUUUCAGAAAGAACUGCAGAAAGCAGAAAAUGCUAUCAUAGCUGAGCAUGAGGAGUUCAAGAACCACAGGCCAGCUCUGCAAUACAACUGCAACAUGCAAUUGUGCAUUCUGCCUGGCUGAAGGCCCAGAUACUAGAUUACGAAGCUUCCAUGACAAAGUUAACUAUUCAUGUGGCUGAUUUAAAAUUGCAACUGAAGCAAACUCAGACGGACGUAGAGAAUAAAGUAUACUCCAAUCCAAAACAGUCUCUGAACAAUCAUUCUGUCAGUGGAUUAAUAAGUGGCAAUAUGGUACCCUGCAAUGAUGUUAUACAUCAGGCUUUCUUGAACAAUUCUUUUAGACAGAAAAGAGUUCUAGCAGGUAUGGUUACAUCAAGGAUCCCAAAUUAUCCAAAUGGAGGUGUAGAAGGUAGUCCUUCCAGUUCUGACCUUGAGUUUGUAGUUAAUACUAAGCAAGGGUCAAAGAGCUUAAGCAAGAGUCAAAGAGCUUAAGCAAGAGGCCAGACACUUGGAAGAGCCUUUCAGAAGUUGCCAUCAGAGAGUCAUUAACAUGACUGCCAAAAGCCCACUACCAGCAAAGAGCUCACCAUCUCUGCACUUGCUGAAAGCUUUCAAAAACAUUACUUCCAGUUCUCCAGAAAGACAUAUAUUUGCAGAGGACAGAGUUGUCUCUGAGCAACCUCAAGUGCAAACACUUAACGAAUAAAGGAAUGGCACCUUGGAAGCACUCACAGGUAGUGCAGCCUCCAGGCUACACAGGCACACUUCCUCCAGACAACGCUAAUCCACACCGUUUCCAAAAGCAAAAAGAAACCUUAAAAGAGAAAUGUAUCUGGAAGCCUGGGCAGAUCACAUGGUGCUUCCCCCAGGCCUUGUUCUGACAGAAUGCCCCAGCAAUCACUCACUGAAUCAAGGCACAACCUCUCCAUCCCUACAGACCAGAAGUUGUGUCUUUCCCAGAGACAGAUUGAACUUCAAGGUAAAAGUGAAUUUUCAGAUGCGGACAAGCUAACUUCUAAGGAUUAUGAGUAAUUCGACUCAUCUUUUAAAUAUGCAGGAAACGUGCCCGGGCAUCUUGAAAUGGAUGAGUUCUCUUCUGGAGAUAUGUCUCAUGUGUACGCAUAUCUGGAGAUAUGCCUCUUGUGGGUGCUGCUGCAGCUGCUGUGCCCAUCUCAUAUCAAUACCCAAGUAUAGUUCAGAAACCAAUUGAGGAACAAAAGCAAGAAGAAAAAAUAUGGCAACAGCAAGUGAAAGAACAAAGGCAGAGAAGAAAAACGGCAGAGUAACCUACAUUUUAGCAAGGGAACAAAGGGAGCUAGAAAAUCUAGAUCACAAAAGGAGCUCAAGAAAGGUGGUUCAGGAAGGCUCCCUAUAGACAUGCUUCAAUCUACGGAAAAAGUUGAAAUUUUAACAGGCUUUUCUCAUGACGAACCAGAUGACUCUUGGUAACCAGGUUUGCUCCCCAGCUUCUAAUUUCAAUAUGAUGAGAAGUUACAUAACAUUUACUCCUUUGUAAAGGUUUCUCUGUCAUCAGACAAAACUCUGAAUAGAAACCGGUGGGUAAUCCAGUGUACUGGUUUUUCCUAAUGUAUUUGGUACUAUAGUGUAUGAACCGAGAAUAAUCGAGUCAAGUGAAACCCCCUUUUCCAGUCAUAAAAUGUCUCAUUCAUUAUACUAAAAGGAGCUGUUCUUUUAAAAAA
rnacentral:lncRNA from 1 species